rnacentral:rRNA from 1 species
UGGCGGACGGGUGAGUAACGCGUGAGAAUCUGCCCUUAGGAGGGGGACAACCAUUGGAAACGAUGGCUAAUACCCCAUAUGUCGAGAGAUGAAACGUUUUUGGCCUGAGGAUGAGCUCGCGUCUGAUUAGCUAGUUGGUGGUGUAAAGGACUACCAAGGCGACGAUCAGUAGCUGUUCUGAGAGGAAGAUCAGCCACACUGGGACUGAGACACGGCCCAGACUCCUACGGGAGGCAGCAGUGGGGAAUUUUCCGCAAUGGGCGAGAGCCUGACGGAGCAACGCCGCGUGAGGGAGGAAGGUCUGUGGAUUGUAAACCUCUUUUGUUAGGGAAGAAGUUCUGACGGUACCUAACGAAUAAGCAUCGGCUAACUCCGUGCCAGCAGCCGCGGUAAG